CCCAUCCUGCCUCAUACUGGAAAGAAGAGAAACUGAGAACUGUUUGAACCAGAUUCAGCCUUAGGCCACUACAACUGGCAGCUUGGAAAGCAACACAAAAAAGAAGAGUUACACAGCCCAGACUAUGAAAAGCAAGCUCAAUAUGCAUUUCAAAAGACGAAUAGACAUCUCAGGACUGAAACAAACCCCCAUCUCAUUGAUAUAAGAAAGAGCCAGGCUUAUUCUGGGAAGAAUGUCGCCCCAUCUCUGCAACCUUAUGAAAAGAAUGAACUGCAAGUGGCCACUUCUUCUUCUGUUAGUUCCUAAAAUGCAAUUUCUUCAUGGACAGGACUCAUAAACUCCUCUACACCUGUCAUAAAAUAAUUUGCUAAAAGGUUUUACAUUUAACUAGCAAGGUACACUCUGUGUCCUCAGAAGCCCCCUUGUUCUGAUUCUUCAUCAGCUUUAUUCAAUCAAGACAUUGGCAGCUGAGGAUGCACCCACCAAAUCCCAGGCUGAAGAAGUGAAGAUCAACAAGACCACAUGAUCAGAAUGAAUGGAAGAUAAGCUCUUUUUAAGCAGCCCUCAUCUACCUUGCUAACUCUGUACUGCUGGAGCCCAGAGCACUGUCUGUCAAAUAGCAGAUACUCCGCAAGUUUGCUGAAUGACUGAUUGAGACAGACAUGCCUUCUGCCCUCAUGAAGUGAACAGUUCAAAUGUGAAGCAGCUUGCCAUGCUGGAGUACACUACAGGUAAGGAUCAGGCCACCAGGUCUUGGUCCUGGCUCUGUCACCAUCUGCUCUAAGACCUGAGGCAACAUAUUUGGUUCACUGUGUCUGAAGAUAAAAACAAGGACUUUUGACACAAUUUUCCUACAAAAUUUCUUAAACAGAUUGUAAAUUCUAACAUCUAACAAUGUAUCUUCUUGGAGUUUUUCAGGAGAAUAGGGCUGUAAAAUAUACUUGAGAUAAUAUUAAAAAGAAGAUGAAGUCUCUA